GUAACCCUAAAACACUAAAGGAAAGCAAGUAGCUAGCGAACCAUCUAAGCAGGGAAGCAACAAUGUUCAUCGCUACAACUGCCACAAGUCUAGUCAUUAUGCACAUGAAUGUCCCUCUAGGAACCUAUUGAUCCAAAAUGAGGAUGAUAAGGAUGAAGUAAGAAAAGAAGAACCACAUCCUAUGUUAGGAGUAUCUAGUGAUGUGGAUGAAGAAUUUGAUGAUGAGGAAGCACCCCUUCAUGUGAUAAGGUGUGUUCUCAUAAUACCAAAACCUAAGGAUGAUUGGAGACGAAUAUCUA
rnacentral:lncRNA from 1 species